ensembl:misc_RNA
AUCAUGCUGCAACAUAUUGCAUGAGUAUUCAAUCAAAGAAGGUAUGUUUGUUCUUCAGAAAUGACUCUCCCUGAAAGGUCAAAAU